CCGAGAGUGGCGGAAUUGGCAGACGCGCUGGAUUUAGGAUCCUGUGCCGGUAACGGCGUGGGGGUUCGACUCCCCCCUCUCGGA
rnacentral:tRNA from 3 species